GAGGCGGGCAUAACACCAUCUUCCGGGCCAUCCUCCCUCUCUCCACCUACCUGCCUGGUGUCCCCACUUAUCUAAAUACCUAACAGAAGCGAAACAUUCA